CCUACGGGAGGCAGCAGUGAGGAAUAUUGGUCAAUGGGCGAGAGCCUGAACCAGCCAAGUCGCGUGAAGGAUGACGGCCCUACGGGUUGUAAACUUCUUUUGUCAGGGAGCAAUUGGGUCCACGCGUGGGCUUAUCGAUGGUACCUGCAGAAAAAGCAUCGGCUAACUCCGUGCCAGCGGCCGCGUUAAUACGGAGGAUGCGAGCGUUACCCGGUUUUAUUGGGUUUAAAGGGUGGGUAGGCGGAAUAUCAAGUCAGCGGUAAAGAUUCGGGGCUCAACCCCGUCGUGACGUUGAAACUGGUGUUCUUGAGUGGGCGAGAAGUAGGCGGAAUGCGUGGUGUAGCGGUGAAAUGCAUAGAUAUCACGCAGAACUCCGAUUGCGAAGGCAGCAUACCGGAGCCCAACUGACGCUGAAGCACGAAAGCGUGGGUAUCGAACAGGAUUAGAUACCCUUGUAGUC
rnacentral:rRNA from 1 species